AGCUCGUGUCGUGAGAUGUGGUAAGUCCCGCAACGAGCGCAACCCUUGUCAUUAGUUGCUACAUUCAGUUGGGCACUCUAAUGAGACUGCCGUGACAAACCGGAGGAAGGUGGGGAUGACGUCAAGUCCUCAUGGCCCUUAUAGGUGGGGCUACACACGUCAUACAAUGGAUGGUACAAAGGGUCGCCAACCCGCGAGGGGGAGCCAAUCCCAUAAAGCCAUUCGUAGUCCGGAUCGCAGUCUGCAACUCGACUGCGUGAAGUCGGAAUCGCUAGUAAUCGUGGAUCAGAAUGUCACGGUGAAUACGUUCCCGGGUCUU
rnacentral:rRNA from 1 species